rnacentral:rRNA from 1 species
GACGAACGCUGGCGGCGUGCUUAACACAUGCAAGUCGAACGGAAAGGCCCUGCUUUUGUGGGUGCUCGAGUGGCGAACGGGUGAGUAACACGUGAGUAACCUGCCCUUGACUUUGGGAUAACUUCAGGAAACUGGGGCUAAUACCGGAUAGGAGCUCCUGCUGCAUGGUGGGGGUUGGAAAGUUUCGGCGGUUGGGGAUGGACUCGCGGCUUAUCAGCUUGUUGGUGGGGUAGUGGCUUACCAAGGCUUUGACGGGUAGCCGGCCUGAGAGGGUGACCGGCCACAUUGGGACUGAGAUACGGCCCAGACUCCUACGGGAGGCAGCAGUGGGGAAUAUUGCACAAUGGGCGGAAGCCUGAUGCAGCAACGCCGCGUGCGGGAUGACGGCCUUCGGGUUGUAAACCGCUUUCGCCUGUGACGAAGCGUGAGUGACGGUAAUGGGUAAAGAAGCACCGGCUAACUACGUG